rnacentral:lncRNA from 1 species
CCUCCCAGUCCCUCUCUGGCCCAGAAGGCUUCCGGGAUAUUCACAUAUUCUGAAUCGCCCCCAAGUGCCAAAGUUGGGGAAGGAGGAGGAUAACAUUUUCCCGAGGAGGGACCUCUGACCCAGCUGCCUGGUCCAGAGCCCAAGCAAUGCCUGUGACCCAGAUUACUGCCACCCAUUUUAUGGAUGAAGAAACUAUGGUUGAGUGGAUGCCCAAGGCCAUGCUGCUACAGUGUAUUUGAGCUGGGAUCCAACCUCCUGGUUAUACUCUUCUAACCACCAAUCCAUACAACUCAUCUGUUCUAUUUCUUCUGGCUGGAACAACUUUCUCUCCUCUAGCUGCCUGGAAAACUCCUACCUGACCUUCAAAAUUCAGGUCCAAUGCCUCCUCCUCUGUGAAGCCUUCUCUGAUCCCACUCCAGACAGUUUCAUCUGCUUGGUACCCAGAGCAUCAUGCAUAUGUCUUUACUACAUUGCUCAUCAAUCUAUUCUGAAAUGAUAUGAACAAUGCUCAUUUUCCCCCUCAAACUCUAAAUUCUAUUAUCACAGAGCUAAGUUUUCUUACUCCCUUACAUCAUUGACUGACACUGGAAAAUGCUGCCAAUGAAGCGGCCCAUUCCAUAUUUGCUUGGAUUUCACUGUUAGAAAGUUCUUUGUUAGGGUGAACCACACAGCUGGCCUCACUAACAUCCACCUCCUGGGAGGAGGAAGCAGUUGGUUCUACCAUCUUCCUCUCAUAGAAGCUCUUCAGAUGCUGAGGACACCUGUCACCUGUCCCAAGGGGCGUCCCUGAUCAUGUCCUGUGUUGUCCCCAGCCAUUUCCUAUAGAACUUCCUACUCUCUUCCCUCUAAACACAAAGAGCUUUUCCCUUUAACUCCUUAUUUGUCAUUGGUAUCAUGAAGGAGACUAUGGGGUCCAUGGAAGCUGGGACAUUCCCUGGGUGAGUCUCCUCUGAAUGUCUUAUGUCCAGCCCAGCAUGUGACUCAUUUUGUUGAAUAUGUGGGUGAAUGGUUGGUUGAGGUCUUGAAUGUGAUAGAAAAAUCAGGAUGGUGAAUAAUUAAAGAUAGGUUUAAGGGCCAUCUGAGUGA